rnacentral:rRNA from 1 species
UACGGAGGGUGCGAACGUUAAUCGGAAUCACUGGGCGUAAAGCGCGCGUAGGAGGUUCGUUAAGUGGGAUGUGAAAUCCCCGGGCUUAACCUGGGAAUUGCAUUUCAAACUGGCCGACUAGAGUACGGUAGAGGGAGGUAGAAUUUCCUGUGUAGCGGUGAAAUGCGUAGAUAUAGGAAGGAAUACCAGUGGCGAAGGCGGCCUCCUGGAUCGAUACUGACGCUGAGGCGCGAAAGCGUGGGGAGCAAACAGG